rnacentral:rRNA from 1 species
UACGUAGGGGCCAAGCGUUGUCCGGAUUUAUUGGGCGUAAAGAGCUCGUAGGCGGUUCGGCAAGUCAGCUGUGAAAUCUCCACGCUCAACGUGGAGGGGUCAGCUGAUACUGCUGUGACUUGAGUCCGGUAGGGGAGUGUGGAAUUCCCGGUGUAGCGGUGAAAUGCGCAGAUAUCGGGAGGAACACCAGUAGCGAAGGCGGCUCUCUGGUACGUGACUGACGCUGAGACGCGAAAGCGUGGGGAGCGAACAGG